rnacentral:tRNA from 2 species
GCAGUCAUGGCCGAGUGGUUAAUGCGAUGGACUAGAAAUCCAUUGGGGGUCUACCCCGCACAGGUUCAAAUCCUGUCGACUGCG